rnacentral:rRNA from 1 species
CCUACGGGGGGCAGCAGUGGGGAAUAUUGGACAAUGGGCGAAAGCCUGAUCCAGCCAUGCCGCGUGUGUGAAGAAGGCCUUCGGGUUGUAAAGCACUUUCAGUGGGGAAGAAAGCCUUGGGGCUAAUACCCUCGAGGAAGGACAUCACCCACAGAAGAAGCACCGGCUAACUCCGUGCCAGCAGCCGCGGUAAUACGGAGGGUGCGAGCGUUAAUCGGAAUUACUGGGCGUAAAGCGCGCGUAGGCGGUCUGAUAAGCCGGUUGGGAAAGCCCCGGGCUCAACCUGGGAACGGCAUCCGGAACUGUCAGGCUAGAGUGCAGGAGAGGAAGGUAGAAUUCCCGGUGUAGCGGUGAAAUGCGUAGAGAUCGGGAGGAAUACCAGUGGCGAAGGCGGCCUUCUGGACUGACACUGACGCUGAGGUGCGAAAGCGUGGGUAGCAAACAGGAUUAGAUACCCCAGUAGUC